rnacentral:rRNA from 1 species
UACGGAAGGCAGCAGUGGGGAAUAUUGCACAAUGGGCGCAAGCCUGAUGCAGCCAUGCCGCGUGUAUGAAGAAGGCCUUCGGGUUGUAAAGUACUUUCAGUCGUGAGGAAGGUGUUAAGGUUAAUAACCUUAGCAAUUGACGUUAGCGACAGAAGAAGCACCGGCUAACUCCGUGCCAGCAGCCGCGGUAAUACGGAGGGUGCGAGCGUUAAUCGGAAUUACUGGGCGUAAAGGGCACGCAGGCGGUUAAUUAAGUUGGAUGUGAAAUCCCCGGGCUUAACCUGGGAAUGGCAUUCAAGACUGGUUAGCUAGAGUCUUGUAGAGGGGGUAGAAUUCCAUGUGUAGCGGUGAAAUGCGUAGAGAUGUGGAGGAAUACCGGUGGCGAAGGCGGCCCCUGGACAAAGACUGACGCUCA